AGAUGAUGAUCCCAAGCCUUCUGGCGAUCUAGACAAAACAAGUCCACCGUGGGCUUUGAAAAACGCUUUCCUUGAUAAAAUUUAAGCGUUUUAUAAGAGGAUGCCGGGGAAGGUUUUCCGGUUUAUCCCGGAGGGCUUGUAGCUCAGUUGGUUAGAGCGCGCGCUUGAUAAGCGUGAGGUCGGAGGUUCAAGUCCUCCCAGGCCCACCAGUUUAUCCAUUACUUUCAUAAGUGCUUUUAAAAAAUAAGUACUUCUAAAAAGAUUGCUUCUAAAAAGAUUGCUUCUAAAAAGCUUAUCAAAAUUGGCAGGCUUAUUGCUUUUGUGUGAGUAAUCCAAAGUUAAAGCAAAUUAAUGGCAAAAAAACAGUUCAAAUGCUAAAUACUAAGGAGUCAAAAUUCCUUGCAAAGUGAUUUUUACAGCGUCCAUUUGGUUGAUAUAAAUUCCAAAUGCUCAUAGACGUCAAUGCCUAUAUGAAACUAUCGGUUCAAUCAUAUCGCUUUGAGUUAUAUAGAUUUUGUAAUCCCUCUUUUGAUCGUUUUAAACGCUUUAUCCUGAUUUAGGGGCCGUAGCUCAGCUGGGAGAGCACCUGCUUUGCAAGCAGGGGGUCGUCGGUUCGAUCCCGUCCGGCUCCACCAUAAGGUCAUCAUCAUUGUUGUAAGAACA
rnacentral:tRNA from 1 species